rnacentral:rRNA from 1 species
CNAGUCGAACGCGAAAGUCCCGCAAGGGAUGAGUAGAGUGGCAAACGGGUGAGUAACACGUGGGUGACCUGCCUUCGAGCGGGGGAUAACGUCCCGAAAGGGACGCUAAUACCGCAUGACAUCCUGCCUUUGAACAGGUGGUGAUCAAAGCUGGGGAUCGCAAGACCUAGCACUUGAAGAGGGGCCCGCGCCUGAUUAGCUAGUUGGUGAGGUAAUGGCUCACCAAGGCAACGAUCAGUAUCCGGCCUGAGAGGGCGGACGGACACACUGGGACUGAGACACGGCCCAGACUCCUACGGGAGGCAGCAGUGGGGAAUUGUUCGCAAUGGGCGCAAGCCUGACGACGCAACGCCGCGUGGAGGAUGAAGACCUUCGGGUCGUAAACUCCUUUCGAUCGAGACGAAUGGCCUCCGGGUGAACAGUCCGGAGGAGUGACGGUACCGAGAGAAGAAGCCCCGGCUAACUCCGUGCCAGCAGCCGUGGUAAUACGGGGGGGGCAAGCGUUGUUCGGAAUUACUGGGCGUAAAGGGCUCGUAGGCGGCCAACUAAGUCAGACGUGAAAUCCCUCGGCUUAACCGGGGAACUGCAUCUGAUACUGGAUGGCUUGAGAUCGGGAGAGGGAUGCGGAAUUCCAGGUGUAGCGGUGAAAUGCGUAGAUAUCUGGAGGAACACCGGUGGCGAAGGNNGCAUCCUGGACCGACACUGACGCUGAGGAGCGAAAG